rnacentral:misc_RNA from 1 species
GGCAAACCCCUGGUUCUAAUGAAGGUUUCCAUUUGAUUUCUUUUUCCUUUUUUUUUUUAAAGCAUUAUUCCAGUAUUUGCAUUUCUUGGUCUAGGUCUAGAGCUUUGUGAAUUGAGGCAAUAGGAGGCAUAUGUUCUUUUUGUCCUUUAGUUUGAAGCUUUGGUUGAUAAAUCAAAUAUAAAUUUUGAUUUGUCCUUAAAGUUCCAUUGAUGAUGAGAAUUUUCACUUUAAAUCCUAUGUCAAGAAUAAAUCAUGCAUGAUAAUCAUUUCCUUAUAAAAAUCUCAUCCAUAGUGCCUUCAUUACAAGUUUGUUUCUUUCUCUCUCUCUUUAUAUUUAUAUAUAUUUUAAUUAUAUUAUCUAUAAAAA